AUGUUAUAGGCCUAUCUGCCUUCACUUUAUCACAAUAUAUAUAUAUAUAUAUAUAUAUAUUUUUUUUUUUUUUUUAAUUUAGGUAGCCCCCAAAAUAUUGGGACAUAUAAAAAAAGACAACUCUGUUUCGCAGAGUAGCUGUUGACAUUAUUGUUGCACAGGCACUUUGUUGACUCUAGAGAACCUCGGGCAAAUCGCACAUCACCGUGGUGGCGACUUUGCAUGCGGAUGUCAUCCAUAUCAAUUUUCAAUGCCAGUUUCUGCACCUACCAUGGUGACCAUGGGUAAUGGGGAAUCAGGGUUUCAUUCCAUACAGGGAUCCUGAGAAACGGCAGCAGGCGCUCAAAUAACUCACUCCUGACGCGGGAAGGUAGUGAUGACAAAUAAUAAAACAGGACUCUUUAGAGGCUCUGUAAUUGUAAUGAGUCCACUUGAAAUCCUUUAACUCUAAACAAUUGGAGAGAAGUCUGGUGCAGAGCCACUGACCCAUGCGUGCUGCAGCUGAAACUCCACU